rnacentral:ribozyme from 1 species
UUUUUUUUUUUUUUUUUUUUUUUCUUUGUUCCA